AUGGAGGGGUGACCCCUGAGACCCUGGAACAGUACAGACGGGAGUCCAUGGGGGACCUCACCCCCAUAGUUCCUCCUUAGUCUCCUGCCCUGGGGCUCUGACCCCGUCCUUGUGUGUCCCCCCCAGGCAGUGACAGCCCCCAGGGCUCUGAUGUGUCUCUCUCGGCUUCUAAAGCGUGAGGCAGCUGCCUUGUGGCGACUGAGUGCUGGAAGAUGUGUUCACGCUUCCACCUCCUGACUCAAGAACCUCUGAUGGGGGCUGGCCCUGCCCUCUCCCCACACUUUCUGGUCCAGCAGAGGUGGGCUGGGCCCUCACUAUCGCUGUCUUUACUUCUUUGUAUUCUGAGCUGCAAGCUGUUCCUUCCGCAUUGAAAUUAGGUUGCGGAUGUGACUUUGUUCAUUUCUUGCCAUGAAGGGUUUGUGGGUAAAUUAAAGGAGAAGAUUCUAAAUUUUGAGGGGAAAUAAAUAUAAAUACCAAGAACUUU